AUUUUUUCUGGUUCAUAGGCAUUAUGAUCGGGUUUUCACACAGUUGUGUGAUGAUAUAUGUGUCCCUUCAACCUUGUUACAACGUUGGCACAUGACCCUUCUGACA